rnacentral:misc_RNA from 1 species
GAAAUGCGAUAAGUAAUGUGAAUUGCAGAAUUCAGUGAAUCAUCGAAUCUUUGAACGCACCUUGCGCUCCUUGGUAUUCCGAGGAGCAUGCCUGUUUGAGUGUCAUUAAAUUCUCAACCUUAUCAGUUUUUUCUGGUAGUGGCUUGGAUGUGGGGGUGCUGGCUCCUUUAUUGAGGUCAGCUCCCCUUAAAUGCAUUAGCUGGUGCCCCGUGUGGACUGUCUAUUGGUGUGAUAAUUAUCUACACCAUUGCAAUCCAUAGCACUGCUUCUAACCGUCUGUUAAUUCGGACAAUACAUGACAAUUUGACCUCAAAUCAGGUAGGACUACCCGCUGAACUUAA